GUUAAUCUUUUAUUAGAA
rnacentral:tRNA from 1 species